rnacentral:snRNA from 1 species
GGAUGUGAGGGCGAUCUGGCUGUGACAUCUGUCACCCCAUUGAUCACCAGGGUUGAUUUGGCUGAUCUGGCUGGCUAGGUGGGUGUCCCCCUCCUCCCUCACCGAUCCAUGUGUGUCCCUCCCGAAGCGGCGCGCUCGGUCAAAGAGGACGACCUUCCUCCCCAAGGAGUGGACCGGUCUUUGGUCAAGGGUAUACGAGUAGCUGCGCACCCCUGCUAGAACCUCCAAAUAAGCUCUCAAGAGGGUUACCUGUGGGCUGAAGUGCAGAGUGUCCUGGGAAGAGAAGGAAGAUGCCACUUAAAGAUAGGAAGGUAAGUGUGUCCU